rnacentral:rRNA from 1 species
GCAGUGGGGAAUAUUGCACAAUGGGCGCAAGCCUGAUGCAGCCAUGCCGCGUGUAUGAAGAAGGCCUUCGGGUUGUAAAGUACUUUCAGCAGUGAGGAAGGUGGUAGUGUUAAUAGCACUAUCAUUUGACGUUAGCUGCAGAAGAAGCACCGGCUAACUCCGUGCCAGCAGCCGCGGUAAUACGGAGGGUGCGAGCGUUAAUCGGAAUUACUGGGCGUAAAGCGCAUGCAGGUGGUUUGUUAAGUCAGAUGUGAAAGCCCGGGGCUCAACCUCGGAAUUGCAUUUGAAACUGGCAGACUAGAGUACUGUAGAGGGGGGUAGAAUUUCAGGUGUAGCGGUGAAAUGCGUAGAGAUCUGAAGGAAUACCGGUGGCGAAGGCGGCCCCCUGGACAGAUACUGACACUCAGAUGCGAAAGCGUGGGGAGCAAACAGGAUUAGAUACCCUGGUAGUCCACGCCGUAAACGAUGUCUACUUGGAGGUUGUGGCCUUGAGCCGUGGCUUUCGGAGCUAACGCGUUAAGUAGACCGCCUGGGGAGUACGGUCGCAAGAUUAAAACUCAAAUGAAUUGACGGGGGCCCGCACAAGCGGUGGAGCAUGUGGUUUAAUUCGAUGCAACGCGAAGAACCUUACCUACUCUUGACAUCCAUAGAACUUUCCAGAGAUGG